CCCCAAAAACGAAAAGUGUGAUUGGGGUUACCCAAAGUGUUCAUAUUUGGACUGGGGUAGGUGAGUAAUGUCCCCUUUUAGAAAGGAGAGGGCAAGGCUGGUGCCAGCCGCCGCCCUUUAACCAGCUCUUCAAGUGGUCGGGAUAAUUAUUGGGCUUAAAGUGUCCGUAGCCGGUUUAGUUAGUUCCUGGUAAAAUCGGGUAGCUUAACUAUCUGUAUGCUAGGAAUACUGCUAUACUAGAGGGCGGGAGAGGUCUGAGGUACUACAGGGGUAGGGGUGAAAUCUUAUAAUCCUUGUAGGACCACCAGUGGCGAAGGCGUCAGACUGGAACGCGCCUGACGGUGAGGGACGAAAGCCAGGGGAGCGAACCGGAUUAGAUACCCGGGUAGUCCUGGCCGUAAACGAUGCAUACUAGGUGAUGGCACGGCUAUGAGCCGUGUCAGUGCCGUAGGGAAACCGUUAAGUGUGCCGCCUGGGAAGUACGGUCGCAAGGCUAAAACUUAAAGGAAUUGGCGGGGGA
rnacentral:rRNA from 1 species